rnacentral:lncRNA from 1 species
CUGGAAUUAGGUUUCCAUCUAUCCUAGAAAUAAUUUGCCUUUUAAGCAUGGGAGACCAUACCCUCUCACACCCUGCUUUUGUCCCUCACAACCCCCUGUACUUUUUUUUUUUAAAUGUAUAAUGAUUAUGUUCAUUGUAGGAAAAAUAGGGAGAAAAAACAAAAUAGUGAAAGUUUUUCAGAUACUAUUUUGGAAUAUAUGUUUUUCAGAUAUAAUAACUCAUUGCCUUAGCAUGGAAAAUGUUACAUUGGAUUGUGUGGGGUUUUUUUUCAAAUAAAAAGGAACUUUUGUGACUAAAUUAUAGAAUUAUUCAGGACUGCAAAGGGCGCUUGAUUCUGUGUGUUGCUGAGAAAGGGAGGCAUGGGAGCUGGGGUCGUCUUGGCGUGCUUUCUUUAUGGG